GCUCGGGUGACGAAGCGGGCGGCUCGCCCGGAGCGCGACCUUAGGGUCGGCGGGUGUUCUUGUUGAUUGUAAGUCGGAGUGACGGCUCUGAAAAAUGGUUGUAGGGUGUCGAUUUCGGUUGCUCGGGCGACGAAGUUGUCAGCUCGUUGGAUGCGCGGCCUCGGGGUCGGUGUGUCGGUCGUUCUUGUAUCGGUUUUUGGCCAGUUUUCCUUAUUAACUGGCCAAUUCUUC
rnacentral:lncRNA from 1 species